CUAAACCAGUCACUUCCCUCUCCCUCCCUCAUCUCUUCAUUCUCCUUUGCCCGAAACCCAUCCCUGACUAGAAAUCUAUCUCUCCACCCACAAUUUUUUAUCUCACAGCGGUGAUUCAGUGACCGGCGCUAGGUCCAAAGCAAGGCAGGUUUCGCGGCACAACAAUCCCUGAAGUCCUAAAAUCCUCGACCAACGGCGGACACUCCAAGAGGCACCUGCAGAAAUAGGUGUUUGUUUUUCUCUCUUAUUAUGCAUGAAGCCAUCCCUGCAUCCCAAGUAAUUUUGAAUUUCCUCAUCCUCCACCUGGUAAAUAUUAUGUGGUUGAUUCUGGUUAUCCAUCUACUACUGGAUUCUUGACGCCAUUCAAAAGACAAAGAUACCAUCUAAAUGAUUAUAGGAAUAGACGUCCAAGGACAGCAGUAAAACUAUUUAAUAAUAGACACUCUUCUGUUAGGAAUGUCAUAGAGCGCAGUUUUGGUUCUUUGAAGAAACGCUUCCCAAUUCUGAGUAAAAUGCCAUGUUUUCCACUGAAUA